rnacentral:misc_RNA from 1 species
UCCCCGUUUAAGCGAGGCAGUCUGUCCAGAGUGCUCCCCACUCUCGUGGGGGUGGCAACAGGACACAAGGGUUGCGCUCGUUGCGGGACUUAACCCAACAUCUCACGACACGAGCUGACGACAGCCAUGCAGCACCUGUGCAAGCUCCCCUUGCGGGGUCGUCCCACUUUCAUGGUUCUACCACUUGCAUGUCAAGGCCAGGUAAGGUUCUUCGCGUUGCAUCGAAUUAAGCCACAUACUCCACCGCUUGUGCAGGCCCCCGUCAAUUUCUUUGAGUUUUAAUCUUGCGACCGUACUCCCCAGGCGGCGCGCUUAACGCGUUAGCUUCGCCACAAGAGGGGUCGAUUCCUCUUACAGCAAGCGCGCACCGUUUAGGGCCGGGACUAC